rnacentral:tRNA from 5 species
GGAGGAUUAGCUCAGCUGGGAGAGCAUCUGCCUUACAAGCAGAGGGUCGGCGGUUCGAGCCCGUCAUCCUCCAUCA